UUUAUAUGAUAUUUCUCUUGAAACUCGCGAGAAACUGUAGAUUUCCCUUAACUAGGUUAACCACUAUUAAACCAAUUGUUAUUUGAUAACUUACCCGUGGCAAUUGAGCCGGUUAAACCAAGAAUCAGCAUUAUAUUUCUUAUUCCUUGCUUUGGUAUAGAAGAUUUUUGAAUAAUGGUAACAAUUAAGGAGAUCAGAAAACUAUUUAAUGCCGUAGAACAAAGUCUUCAAUCGCGGAAGUCGAAGUUUGAAAUACAAAGGAAU